rnacentral:rRNA from 1 species
AGAGUUUGAUCCUGGCUCAGGAUGAACGCUAGCGGCAGGCCUAAUACAUGCAAGUCGAACGGUGAUAGCAAUAUCAUAGUGGCGCACGGGCGCGUAACACGUACGCAACCUACCUUAUACUGAGGGAUAGCCUUUCGAAAGGGAGAUUAAUACCUCAUAACACAUUGAACUGGCAUCAGUUUAUUGUUAAAGAUUUAUUGGUAUAAGAUGGGCAUGCGUCCAAUUAGUUAGUUGGCGAGGUAACGGCUCACCAAGACGAUGAUUGGUAGGGGAACUGAGAGGUUAAUCCCCCACACUGGCACUGAGAUACGGGCCAGACUCCUACGGGAGGCAGCAGUAGGGAAUAUUGGGCAAUGGAGGCAACUCUGACCCAGCCAUGCCGCGUGCAGGAAGAAGGCGUUAUGCGUUGUAAACUGCUUUUAUAUAGGAAGAAAUAGACCUUGCGAGGUAAGUUGACGGUACUAUAUGAAUAAGCACCGGCUAACUCCGUGCCAGCAGCCGCGGUAAUACGGAGGGUGCAAGCGUUGUCCGGAUUUAUUGGGUAUAAAGGGUGCGUAGGCGGUUUAUUAAGUCAGUGGUGAAAGACGGUCGCUCAACGAUUGCAGUGCCAUUGAUACUGGUAGACUUGAGUGGGAUUGAGGUAGCUGGGA